AAGUACAAGAAGUGUUGGAUGAAGGGUAGCAUAGUUGGAAGAAUUUUAUAUUUUAAAUUUUAGGAUCUCCUUUAAUCAUUGGGUAAGAUUAGAUGUUUUAAUACUGUUAAGAGCAAUAUAAUAACUAAAUUUUUCAGUAUCAUUUGGCGCGGCAGACUUGCUUGGAUCACAGCUUGUUAGCAAUCAUUUCGGCCUGAUCUUCAAUUUCUUUCUGAAGUGG
rnacentral:misc_RNA from 1 species